GUGCAGCUACCUUGGCAUUCUAGCUGUCGGUUCAUAUUCGGGUGGAACUGGCCGUUUGAACACUCUUGAGAACUGUAUUCUCAUAUCCGUAGCCCAUCACUUGACUUCUAGGUAUUCAUUUUUUGAGUCUUUGUAUAUUCUAGACAUUAACCCUGUCCUGUUCAGCUAGCAAGGUACUGCACGGUCCAAACUCGCCCUCCCGGGCGACCAGCUCAUAAUGACCUCCCGCCCUCAGUCUUAUCGCUCAUUUUUUUGUGGGGUGAGUGAGCAGGCCCCGUAGCACUAACUCCUGGAACCAGAGUAUGUGGAACCACAUGAGAGUGAGCUCGAAAACUGUAAAACAGUUGGUUUUACAUCUAUGAUACAUCUUUUAGUAUGUUUAAGAGCUAAUCCCAUCCAUUUGUAAUUUUGAUUGUAAACUUUGGAUAAGAUUUUUUCCAGAAGAAACACUGACAUUUGCUUUGUGAUUGAGUGAGUGUUCGCUGAGAGAACAGAUUGUCAAGAGUUUCUGAACCAAACUGUGUUUUCGACUGUGCAAAAGAACGUAAAUUCCAGGAACCAAACUCACGUCAUCGGUAUUGGCAACCAGUUCAUCUGCGCUGAGCACACCUGUAGGCCUCCUGCUCUGAGCCUUUAGCUGGCGCUGCAUGAUCUGGAACAUGGACACGUCUGCUUUCCCUUCAUAUCUUACAAGUUCCACAGUCAGGACAAGAUAAAAUCAACAUACAACCUUGAAUUUCAGACAAUAAUUAUUUUUUGCUACAUGACUAGAAUUUUUUAUAUUAUUAAAUAAUUCAGAAAUAUUAUACUUGAAUUAAAGUAAAAGCUUGCAUCGCAUGAGAAAAAAUCUUAUAUAUGGAUGGGGCACAUGACUUGGAGCAGCAGAGAGAGUGGGCGUGACUUCUGGACACCUUGAAGUGGAGGUUUUAUUACGUGGAAUAAGGCUGAACUGAAAAACAACAACAUGUCUGCCUGAGAGUAGUGGAGCUGUC
ensembl:lincRNA 4930471M09Rik RIKEN cDNA 4930471M09 gene